GACGUAGGGCGCAAGCGUUGUCCGGAUUUAUUGGGCGUAAAGAGCUCGUAGGCGGCUCGUUGCGUCGGCUGUGAAAACCCGCAGCUCAACUGUGGGCUUGCAGCCGAUACGGGCGGACUUGAGUUCGGUAGGGGAGACUGGAAUUCCUGGUGUAGCGGUGAAAUGCGCAGAUAUCAGGAGGAACACCGGUGGCGAAGGCGGGUCUCUGGGCCGAUACUGACGCUGAGGAGCGAAAGCGUGGGGAGCGAACAGG
rnacentral:rRNA from 1 species